UACGUAGGGUGCAAGCGUUAAUCGGAAUUACUGGGCGUAAAGCGUGCGCAGGCGGCUUUGCAAGACAGAUGUGAAAUCCCCGGGCUCAACCUGGGAACUGCAUUUGUGACUGCAUGGCUAGAGUACGGUAGAAGGGGAUGGAAUUCCGCGUGUAGCAGUGAAAUGCGUAGAUAUGCGGAGGAACACCGAUGGCGAAGGCAAUCCCCUGGACCUGUACUGACGCUCAUGCACGAAAGCGUGGGGAGCAAACAGG
rnacentral:rRNA from 1 species